rnacentral:lncRNA from 1 species
UUCCCCAUUUCGUCGCAUCGGCAUCCUCUUGCUUCACACGCGCACCGCGAUUUUUUUAAUUUGGGGGUUGGUCUCUCUAUCUGGUCGGCGGCGGCGGCGGAGGGCGUAGCGAGGAUGGAGACGGCGGCGGCGGCGAUGCUGGAGGCCGGGGUGGGGCGGUUCUCGCGGGCGCCGGCGCUGGCCGCGGCGCUGCUGGCCGAGAUGUGGGCGCCGCUGGCCGUGGCGCUGGCGGCGCUAGCCACGCUGCCCAGCCUGCUGCGGCGGCUGCAGGUCAUCGUGCUGCGCCUCCGCUCCCGGGGGAAGGAGGUCAUCCAGUCGCACAUCGGGACCUACUACUCCUCCGGCGACGAGGAUGAUGAGGAUGAGGACGGCGACGAGCAUGACGAAGAGGAGAGCUCCGACGAGGCGGACACGAGCUCCUCCGGCGAGGAGGAGGAUCUGAAGCGGAUCGGGUUCUACGACGGCGCGGCGGACGGCGGCUUCCCCUGGGGCGGCGCCGUCGUCCGGACCUGGCAGGGCCUGCCGCGCGCCCUCUCCGGCUGCUCCAUCUCCACCUCCCUCGGCGGCGGUGGCGCGAGGUUCGCCGCCAUCAACGGGGCGCUUCCGGCGGUGAGGCUGUGGGCCGCCAGCACGGCCAGCUGCGAGCAGUGGUGGGCCGGCGCCGAUGAAGGCGGCUGCGCCGGCGGCGCGGCCGCGGAGGCGCUGCCCUCGCCCCCGGCGCCGGCGGACCAGGUGGUCGUCGGGUGGCGGCGCGACGACGCCGCGUCCCGGCGCCGGCGGCGUGCCCCGCUGCCCCGCCGCGUCCACGCCAACUGAAACAGGACGGGACGGGGUCACGGGGAGGGACCGGUGGGUGCGAGAGGCCGAUGUGAAUAUGCCGCAGGGCGACCAGCUGGAGAUGCCGAUUCCCCCGUUGGGGCCCACCUGCCAGUGGGAGGGGCUAAUGAAUAAGGAGGGGUGAUUAGUAUUGUGGGGGAGUGGUUAGGCGCCGCGCCGGAUUGGUUGGUGAGAUUAUUAUUUCAAAAACAAAUUGCUUAUUGAUUAGGGAAGGAACCAGAGGAAAAAGGAAAAAAGCAUUGGGGGCAGGUGCGAGGUGCACUGCGUGUUGUUGCUGUACACUUGUACUGCGCCUAGCUUGCUGGAAUUAGAAAUGCAUGCUGCAGCUGCUCAUUUUCUCUUGGAGAUGACGGUAAAAUCUUGCGCGCGUGUAAUCUGUGCCGCCAUUCUUUGAUUCAUGCGGCGAUGUGAUGAAUAAGGAAAAGAAAAUAGUACCGGUGCGGUGCUCCA